ACCUCCUCUGUGAAAGGAUGAUGUCAGUCUCUGCAGCUCAGCCCCGGUUCCCAAUUCGAUGGGGUGAGCACAAUCUCUCAGGCAGACGGGAGGGUGCCAGACAAAUCAAGAAGAAGAAGAAGAAGAGCAAGAAAGAGAAGAAGAAAUAUGAGGGAGGGUCUGCUGAAUUAAUGAAGACCUGCAGCUCCCCUGACAUUCCCAGCAGAGGAGACCUGUGCAACCCUCGGCGCGAGUGUCAUUACCGCUGACCAGCGGCUCGUCUCCCGCGGCCCCUAUCCAUCCUCCCUUAGAGGCGAUCGGGAGUUAACCGGAGGAUGCGGAAGGAGGAGAGUGACUGCGUGCUGCGCCAGGCAUCGCAUUAAAUUGAGAGGUUUCAUAAUUCUUCAGAGACUGUCUGUCUUCUGUGCCUCCACAUGCAAGCCAGUGUGUACUAUGGCUUUUUAUUCCUAUGUGAUGAUGGCAAAUGCUCAUGUAGGAAUAGAAGCCACUUUAUACAUGGUGUGAGGACAACGUGACGUGUGCCUGCCGCAGAAGAGCACACGGCUCAAUAAAUAGGAGCCUGUUCCCUGCAGUGAAGAUAGGUUUGUGACCGUCGUUCUGAGCUGGCGACAAUAAUAUAAAGUGUGUCAUUGAUGUGUGCGCAUCUGUCUUUGCCGGCUGGCAGCAGUGCUGCUUUGUGUUUGACGCACGGCGUGACAGCGGAUCUGCAGGGACGACAAAGUGAUGUACAAUGGAAGAAAAAGAGCCAGGAGGGAUCGAUACAGAUCUUUAAUAACUAUAAAAUAGGCACUUGGUGAUCCACUUUACAGCUUGCACGAGGCACCGACUGCACUUAUGCACUUCCCUUUCUUGUCAUUCUUUUGCACAUUAUUAAAAUAAAACUUUGACACGAAGCAUUACACAGACAAUGACCUACCUAAAAUACUAUACAAAACAAGAUACGUACAGUAUAAACAAAAUAAAGCACCUUUUGUUGUCCAAGUAAAUACUCUUCAGAAUUAAACAGUUUGGAGUUGCUGACACAGAUGAUGGUGUUUGUGGUGUGUAUGCGUGUGUGAGAGUGAGUGCGUUUGUGUAUGUAUGUGUGUGUGGGAGGGUUUGGUUUUAUCAGUGCACGGGAAGAACUCCGAAUACAGGUGGAAGGACGGCGAAGCCCUUGUAUGCACCUGAGUUUAUACAAUGGAAUCUUUCCUAAUAUAGUCUUGGAGCAGCCUACAGAUGGAGCCCUCGGAGAGUUUACACAGUAUCUUGAAUGAACCAGGAAACACACAAUGUGAUCAGUGUGCCGUAUAACUGCUACAGGUCUCAUGUUCCCUUCUGAGGAUGUUGGCAUUCACAUUACAAUGAAACAAAUUGUAGCACCAUGUAACGUUUAUACAAAA